rnacentral:rRNA from 1 species
GGUUAAGCGACUAAGCGUACACGGUGGAUGCCCUGGCAGUCAGAGGCGAUGAAGGACGUGCUAAUCUGCGAAAAGCGUCGGUAAGGUGAUAUGAACCGUUAUAGCCGGCGAUGUCCGAAUGGGGAAACCCAGUGCAAUUCGUUGCACUAUCGUUAACUGAAUACAUAGGUUAACGAGGCGAACCGGGGGAACUGAAACAUCUAAGUACCCCGAGGAAAAGAAAUCAACCGAGAUUCCCCCAGUAGCGGCGAGCGAACGGGGAGCAGCCCAGAGUCUGAAUCAGCUUGUGUGUUAGUGGAACGGUCUGGAAAGUCCGACGGUACAGGGUGAUAGUCCCGUACACCAAAAUGCACAGGCUGUGAACUCGAAGAGUAGGGCGGGACACGUGGUAUCCUGUCUGAAUAUGGGGGGACCAUCCUCCAAGGCUAAAUACUCCUGACUGACCGAUAGUGAACCAGUACCGUGAGGGAAAGGCGAAAAGAACCCCGGCGAGGGGAGUGAAAAAGAACCUGAAACCGUGUACGUACAAGCAGUGGGAGCACCUUCGGGUGUGACUGCGUACCUUUUGUAUAAUGGGUCAGCGACUUAUAUUCUGUAGCAAGGUUAACCGUAUAGGGGAGCCGCAGGGAAACCGAGUCUUAACUGGGCGUUAAGUUGCAGGGUAUAGACCCGAAACCCGGUGAUCUAGCCAUGGGCAGGUUGAAGGUUGGGUAACACUAACUGGAGGACCGAACCGACUAAUGUUGAAAAAUUAGCGGAUGACUUGUGGCUGGGGGUGAAAGGCCAAUCAAACCGGGAGAUAGCUGGUUCUCCCCGAAAGCUAUUUAGGUAGCGCCUCGUGAACUCAUCUUCGGGGGUAGAGCACUGUUUCGGCUAGGGGGUCAUCCCGACUUACCAACCCGAUGCAAACUACGAAUACCGAAGAAUGUUAUCACGGGAGACACACGGCGGGUGCUAACGUCCGUCGUGAAGAGGGAAACAACCCAGACCGCCAGCUAAGGUCCCAAAGUCAUGGUUAAGUGGGAAACGAUGUGGGAAGGCACAGACAGCCAGGAUGUUGGCUUAGAAGCAGCCAUCAUUUAAAGAAAGCGUAAUAGCUCACUGGUCGAGUCGGCCUGCGCGGAAGAUGUAACGGGGCUAAACCAUGCACCGAAGCUGCGGCAGCGACACUAUGUGUUGUUGGGUAGGGGAGCGUUCUGUAAGCCUGCGAAGGUGGCCUGUGAGGGUUGCUGGAGGUAUCAGAAGUGCGAAUGCUGACAUAAGUAACGAUAAAGCGGGUGAAAAGCCCGCUCGCCGGAAGACCAAGGGUUCCUGUCCAACGUUAAUCGGGGCAGGGUGAGUCGACCCCUAAGGCGAGGCCGAAAGGCGUAGUCGAUGGGAAACAGGUUAAUAUUCCUGUACUUGGUGUUACUGCGAAGGGGGGACGGAGAAGGCUAUGUUAGCCGGGCGACGGUUGUCCCGGUUUAAGCAUGUAGGCUGGUUAUCCAGGCAAAUCCGGAUAAUCAAGGCUGAGGUGUGAUGACGAGGUACUACGGUGCUGAAGUAACAAAUGCCCUGCUUCCAGGAAAAGCCUCUAAGCAUCAGGUAACAUCAAAUCGUACCCCAAACCGACACAGGUGGUCAGGUAGAGAAUACCAAGGCGCUUGAGAGAACUCGGGUGAAGGAACUAGGCAAAAUGGUGCCGUAACUUCGGGAGAAGGCACGCUGGUGUGUAGGUGAAGUCCCUGCGGAUGGAGCUGAGACCAGUCGAAGAUACCAGCUGGCUGCAACUGUUUAUUAAAAACACAGCACUGUGCAAACACGAAAGUGGACGUAUACGGUGUGACGCCUGCCCGGUGCCGGAAGGUUAAUUGAUGGGGUUAUCCGUAAGGAGAAGCUCUUGAUCGAAGCCCCGGUAAACGGCGGCCGUAACUAUAACGGUCCUAAGGUAGCGAAAUUCCUUGUCGGGUAAGUUCCGACCUGCACGAAUGGCGUAAUGAUGGCCAGGCUGUCUCCACCCGAGACUCAGUGAAAUUGAACUCGCUGUGAAGAUGCAGUGUACCCGCGGCAAGACGGAAAGACCCCGUGAACCUUUACUAUAGCUUGACACUGAACAUUGAGCCUUGAUGUGUAGGAUAGGUGGGAGGCUUUGAAGCGUGGACGCCAGUCUGCGUGGAGCCAACCUUGAAAUACCACCCUUUAAUGUUUGAUGUUCUAACGUUGGCCCCUUAUCGGGGUUGCGGACAGUGUCUGGUGGGUAGUUUGACUGGGGCGGUCUCCUCCCAAAGCGUAACGGAGGAGCACGAAGGUUAGCUAAUCCUGGUCGGACAUCAGGAGGUUAGUGCAAUGGCAUAAGCUAGCUUGACUGCGAGCGUGACGGCGCGAGCAGGUGCGAAAGCAGGUCAUAGUGAUCCGGUGGUUCUGAAUGGAAGGGCCAUCGCUCAACGGAUAAAAGGUACUCCGGGGAUAACAGGCUGAUACCGCCCAAGAGUUCAUAUCGACGGCGGUGUUUGGCACCUCGAUGUCGGCUCAUCACAUCCUGGGGCUGAAGUAGGUCCCAAGGGUAUGGCUGUUCGCCAUUUAAAGUGGUACGCGAGCUGGGUUUAGAACGUCGUGAGACAGUUCGGUCCCUAUCUGCCGUGGGCGCUGGAGAAUUGAGGGGGGCUGCUCCUAGUACGAGAGGACCGGAGUGGACGCAUCACUGGUGUUCGGGUUGUCAUGCCAAUGGCACUGCCCGGUAGCUAAAUGCGGAAGAGAUAAGUGCUGAAAGCAUCUAAGCACGAAACUUGCCCCGAGAUGAGUUCUCCCUGAGACUUUAAGUCUCCUGAAGGAACGUUAAAGACGAUGACGUUGAUAGGCCGGGUGUGUAAGCGCAGCGAUGCGUUGAGCUAACCGGUACUAAUGAACCGUGAGGCUUAACCUU